rnacentral:rRNA from 1 species
GUAGGGAAUAUUGGUCAAUGGGCGGAAGCCUGAACCAGCCAUGCCGCGUGCAGGAAGAAGGCCCUCUGGGUUGUAAACUGCUUUUGAUAGGGAACAAAUGCCACUUGCGAGUGGAGCUGAGUGUACCUAUAGAAUAAGCACCGGCUAACUCCGUGCCAGCAGCCGCGGUAAUACGGAGGGUGCAAGCGUUGUCCGGAUAUAUUGGGUUUAAAGGGUGCGUAGGCGGCUCUUUAAGUCAGUGGUGAAAUCCUUCAGCUUAACUGGAGAACUGCCAUUGAUACUGAAGAGCUUGAGUAUAGUUGAGGUAGGCGGAAUUGACAGUGUAGCGGUGAAAUGCUUAGAUAUUGUCAAGAACACCGAUUGCGAAGGCAGCUUACUAAACUAUAACUGACGCUGAGGCACGAAAGCGUGGGUAUCAAACAGGAUUAGAUACCCCUGUAGUCC